UGUUACUAGUAUCGGAUUGCUUGGGACUAGAUGCAAGGUUUACGUCUACUUCAACCCCCUUUGCAGGCUCCACAUAGCCAGUGGACUUGCGUUUAGACCGAUGCCUUAUUAAAUUAUCUUCCUCUAGGUCUUCAACUUCGUCUUGAGCAGAUGUGCUUCCUGUUUCCAUCCUUCCAUUUAGUGCUCUGACUUUCCUCAGCUCCACGUCCACCUCAGUUAACUUAGAAGCUUCUAUUUUUGAUCCUCCAAUGCUCUCCCCUCGCUGAGGGAUAUCUUCCUCUGGCUUGAUAGACGAAGCUGCAGGCGAAACUUCAAAAUUAUUCAAGUGAGAAAGAUGUUCUUGAGUUCUAAGGUUGCUUAAAUCAGUGUGCGAAGUUAUGGGAUCAUUUGGAUAAGCUUGCCCAACAUCCUUCUUUGAAG
rnacentral:misc_RNA from 1 species